rnacentral:rRNA from 1 species
GAUGAACGCUAGCGGCAGGCUUAAUACAUGCAAGUCGUGGGGCAGCAUGAAUGUAGCAAUACAUUUGAUGGCGGCCGGCAAACGGGUGCGGAACACGUACACAACCUUCCUAUAAGUGGGGAAUAGCCCAGAGAAAUUUGGAUUAAUACCCCGUAACAUAAUGAUGUGGCAUCACAUUAUUAUUAUAGCUUCGGCGCUUAUUGAUGGGUGUGCGGCUGAUUAGAUAGUUGGCGGGGUAACGGCCCACCAAGUCUACGAUCAGUAGCUGAUGUGAGAGCAUGAUCAGCCACACGGGCACUGAGACACGGGCCCGACUCCUACGGGAGGCAGCAGUAAGGAAUAUUGGUCAAUGGACGCAAGUCUGAACCAGCCAUGCCGCGUGAAGGAUUAAGGUCCUCUGGAUUGUAAACUUCUUUUAUCUGGGACGAAAAAAGGCGAUUCUUCGUCACUUGACGGUACCAGAUGAAUAAGCACCGGCUAACUCCGUGCCAGCCGCCGCCGUAACAC